UGAUGAUUUAGGUCUGACUGACCGUGUCGACGUCUCUGGGGUACAGGCACGUCUCUCCUUUAGUGAAAUUACAGAAGACCUUGAAGGAGUCUCUGGAGCAGCCUUGGUUUGGGUCAAUCCAGUACUCUCCUGCAGAAAGGUCCGGUGGAUCCAUGAGGCCCAGGCAUGCCCCGGUCUCCUUUCUCUCCCUGCUCUCCUGAAGGUCCGAUCAGACCGAUGAGACCCUGGUGACCCUUCUCACCCUUUGCACCAGGAUCUCCACGCAGGCCAGGUAGACCGGGAGGUCCCUGCAGCACAUCAGAGGAGGAGGUCCAGGUGGGCCCGUCUGUCCAGCAGAUCCUGGAGAUCCUUGCUCUCCCUGAAACAUCAAACAGGAUCAGCUGCUGGAUUCUAACUAAAUGCAAACGCUGCUGAUUCUGAUUCCCAGGAAAACCCACCACUGAUCCUGGAAGUCCUCUGAGACCUUCUGUUCCCGGUUUUCCCGGCUGACCCUGAGGACCAACGGGGCCGGUCUUCCCUGGGGGCCCGACGGCACCUGGAUCCCCCUAAAGGUCGUCCUCGUCCUCCAGCAGGUCCAGCAGUUCCAGGUUGUCCAGCUUCUCCCUUCUCUCCGCGUUCUCCACGAAGACCCUGACAACGAGAACACGGCUGUUAGCUAACCGGUCAGCGGGGCAUCAGAAGACUUUGGCUCACUCAGGUACUCACCUUCUUUCCUGGUUCUCCAACAACUCCAGGUGCUCCCGCCUCACCAGGCUCUCCCUGUGGAGCAAACACUGAAUGUCUUAUAGCAGCUAUUUUAUGAGAGACUAUUAAAGUCAUGCAGGAAAAUCCUCCAAUGCUGCACCUUCUCUCCAAGAGGUCCAGGAUUACCCAAACCACCAGGAGGACCUUGAGGUCCCUGAAAUGCAACCAUGAAACAAAUGUAAUGAGAGACAAAGUUCCUACUAACAGACCUGACUUGGUAAAAACUACAGAAGCAACUAGAAGAGCUCCAAGCACUCACGUCGGCUCCGUUGGGUCCAGCAGGUCCGCGGGGUCCUGGAGGUCCAGGAGGACCCUGGAGACAUAAAAAAGUUGUAUUGCUGUAGAAGAAAGAAGCCACAUCUCCAGUUGUUUUAAGCUCACCAAUGGCCCAACGUCUCCGGUCUCUCCCUUCUCACCCGAUGGUCCAGGCAGGCCCUGUAGACCAGAAGAAGUUUAACCAAAAACUGGUUAGCAGCUUAGCUCAGGAACCUAAACACGAGCGACUCCAACAGAAAACUGUUUAUUGGUUUUUCUUCUUUCACCUGAAGUCCGAUAGGUCCCGGAGCUCCCGGGAAUCCUCGAGUUCCUUCGUCACCUUUAGCUCCAAAAGGUCCCUGCUGCCCCCUUGGUCCCAGCUCUCCAUCUGCCCCCUGCCCCACAGAGGAGAUAAGAAAUGGCGACAGAAAUAAGGAAACGGGAACAUGAACAGAGACGAGGGGGCCUAUCAGCUGUCUCGCACCUGGGAUUCCCUUCUCCAAAGACCAGCCAGCGGAGGUGGGCGUGACCGACCCGGCGGAUCUGACAGAUCCGGCUUGGCCACGCCCACCGGAAGAACAGCUGAUAGACGAGUCACACAAACACCUGUGACACUUCUGAAGAAGACCGCAGACGACGGUCGAAACAUGUAAAGGUACUCCAGGUGAUCCAGCAGGGCCGGGCAGACCCACUGGACCCUGGACUCCAUCCCGCCCUGCUGGGCCAAUGGGGCCUUUCUCGCCCUGUAAAGGAGAACGUCUGAAGUUAUUCCGUCUUUAGCUCGCCACGCCGAGUUAAAGGAUAUAUUUUAGGUUUGCGUUACUGAUUAAAAACGUCCUGAUAACUCACUGGAACGCCCUUCUCUCCAGCUUGUCCUGGUGUUCCUUGAGGACCUGGUCUGCCAGGAGGUCCCACAGGUCCAGCGGUUCCAGCAGAACCUCUCUCACCAGGAGAACCCUAGAAAGUACACAUGUUGGUACACUUAACAGUGAGCGAGUACUUCUACCUUUGAUUGGGUCUUCUGACAUCAACAUCAGCCUGACUCUGACAGAAACGACCUUAACCCUCAGGCUUCACUUUAACUUUCAUACAAAAGAGUCAUUAGAGGGCAAAAACGUCCGCUUGUAAGGUUUUUUUUUAGCUUUCUCGCCUGGGCAACAUAUGGAGAAAUGACAGAAUUUGGUGGUGAACAGUAAAAAUCAUAAAUUUGACUACUUUGUCCAAAAUGAAACCAUAACAUCACAGAAAGCAUGAUUACUUGCUGCAGAUGAUGCAGGAUCAAAAACUGUGGUUUGCAUUGAAGUCAAUGGGACGUUUUUGCCUCUAAUGGCUCGAGUGUAUAGUGAAUUUUAAAUCUGUUGCUAUGUAAAAACUAUAAAUGCAAAAAAUUCAAAAUUUUAGAUAUUUCAUAACAUAAUCAAGACUGAUUGGAACUAAACACCCCAGGCAUUAAAAAAUGUCUUUUUUAGAAAAUAACUCAGUUUUAGUUUUUUUUCUUCAUAAAUUACAUCAAUGACUGAGUAUUCAAACUGGCAUUUCAAGGGUUAAAAGCCUCAAAAUGACUGAUUUUUUUUAUGUUUGAGCAGGGCUGAAGUUGUUCAACAGAUGUGUGAAAAAAAAACAUUAAAAAAAAUUUUAUAGCCA